CAGUAGCCACGGUAAUACGAAGGGGGCUAGCGUUGUUCGGAAUUACUGGGCGUAAAGCGCACGUAGGCGGACAUUUAAGUCAGGGGUGAAAUCCCGGGGCUCAACCCCGGAACUGCCUUUGAUACUGGGUGUCUAGAGUAUGGAAGAGGUGAGUGGAAUUCCGAGUGUAGAGGUGAAAUUUGUAGAUAUUCGGAGGAACACCAGUGGCGAAGGCGGCUCACUGGUCCAUUACUGACGCUGAGGUACGAAAGCAUGGGGAGCAAACAGGAUUAGAUACCCGCGUAGUCCCUGUCUCUUAUAC
rnacentral:rRNA from 1 species